rnacentral:lncRNA from 1 species
GUCCACCACCGUGUGAACCACCGUGCCCACCACCAUGUCCGUCCACCACCGUGUGAACCACCGUGCCCACCACCAUGCCCACCACCGUGCCAGCCACCAUGUCCACCACCGUGUCCACCACCAUGUGAACCUUGGUGUCCACCACCAUGUCAACCACCAAUUUGUCAGGUUUGUUGCAGGAUGCCCUCCUCUGGGGGGCACCAAGGAGGGUCUCGGUGUUACUCUUGUGGAAGGAUCGACGGAUGCGUGCCUGAUUGUCCACCAAUGCCCUUUGGUGGAACCUCUCAUGGAGGAUACCAGUUCAUGUUGAAGGAGGAUCCAUCACCGUCAUGUACCAUCAUGUAAUCGUGUGUAUCCAUGUUUUUCCUUUGCCAAAACUAAUAACAGUAAUAAGGGUGAAGGAUGUUAGAUUUAUGGGAGAAUAAUGUGGAAAUAAAAUGUUAUUUCAGUGUAAUAUUUUCAUUUGGAAUAUUGUGUGAAAGGAAUAUUUUAUAUAUGCAAGAUAAUGUGAAGUUCUUUUCUUAGUGUUUUCCUCCAAAAAUAAAUAAACUUAUAUCAAC